UACGUAGGGGGCAAGCGUUGUCCGGAUUUAUUGGGCGUAAAGAGCGUGUAGGCGGUUUGGUAGGUCCGCUGUGAAAACUCGAGGCUCAACCUCGAGACGCCGGUGGAAACCAUCAGGCUAGAGUCCGGAAGAGGAGAGUGGAAUUCCUGGUGUAGCGGUGAAAUGCGCAGAUAUCAGGAGGAACACCGGUGGCGAAGGCGGGUCUCUGGGCCGAUACUGACACUGAGGAGCGAAAGCGUGGGGAGCGAACAGG
rnacentral:rRNA from 1 species